rnacentral:rRNA from 1 species
AGCAGCCGCGGUAAUUCCAGCUCCAAUAGCGUAUAUUAAAGUUGUUGCAGUUAAAAAGCUCGUAGUUGAACUUCAGGCCUGGCUGGACGGUCCGCCCUCUGGGUGAGCACUGUCUGUGGUCGGGUCCUACCUUCUGGCGAAGCGGCAUGGCCUUAACCGGCCGUGGCGGGGAACCAGGACUUUUACUGUAGAAAAAAUUAGAGUGUUCAAAGCAGGCACGCGCUUGAAUACAUUAGCAUGGAAUAAUGGAAUAGGACAAUGGUUCUAUUUGUUGGUUUCUAGGACCGUUGUAAUGAUUAAUAGGGAUAGUUGGGGGCAUUAGUAUUCAAUUGUCAGAGGUGAAAUUCUUGGAUUUAUUGAAGACUAACUACUGCGAAAGCAUUUGCCAAGGAUGUUUUCAUUAAUCAAGAACGAAAGUUAGGGGAUCGAAGACGAUCAGAUACCGUCGUAGUCUUAACCAUAAACUAUGCCGACUAGGAAUCGGGCGAUGUUGACAAAAUGACGCGCUCGGCA